AGACAGUCCUUAAUUGAGAUGCCAAUGCCCGAGAUAGAUGGGGCGUCCAGAUUUCCGGGUUUGUGGAUCUUGGGUAGUAGAUAGAAAUAAGCCUGGUCGGGGCUCUCAAGGUAUGUUGAUUUUUCCAGUGGUUAGUUAGGGAGUGUCCUGAGUCAGAUGGUGCAGUUUCUUUAGUGUAAUUCCUCAGGGGAUUUUGAGGGAAAU